GCGGACGGGUGAGUAACGCGUGGGAACGUGCCCUUCUCUACGGAAUAGCCCCGGGAAACUGGGAGUAAUACCGUAUACGCCCUUUGGGGGAAAGAUUUAUCGGAGAAGGAUCGGCCCGCGUUGGAUUAGGUAGUUGGUGGGGUAAUGGCCCACCAAGCCGACGAUCCAUAGCUGGUUUGAGAGGAUGAUCAGCCACACUGGGACUGAGACACGGCCCAGACUCCUACGGGAGGCAGCAGUGGGGAAUCUUAGACAAUGGGGGCAACCCUGAUCUAGCCAUGCCGCGUGAGUGAUGAAGGCCUUAGGGUUGUAAAGCUCUUUCAGCUGGGAAGAUAAUGACGGUACCAGCAGAAGAAGCCCCGGCUAACUCCGUGCCAGCAGCCGCGGUAAUACGGAGGGGGCUAGCGUUGUUCGGAAUUACUGGGCGUAAAGCGCACGUAGGCGGACUGGAAAGUCUGAGGUGAAAUCCCC
rnacentral:rRNA from 1 species